rnacentral:rRNA from 1 species
CUACGUGCCAGCAGCCGCGGUAAUACGGAAGGUUCGGGCGUUAUCCGGAUUUAUUGGGUUUAAAGGGAGCGUAGGCCGUGGAUUAAGCGUGUUGUGAAAUGUAGAUGCUCAACAUCUGACUUGCAGCGCGAACUGGUUUACUUGAGUGUGCGCAACGUAGGCGGAAUUCGUCGUGUAGCGGUGAAAUGCUUAGAUAUGACGAAGAACUCCGAUUGCGAAGGCAGCUUACGGGAGCACAACUGACGCUGAAGCUCGAAGGUGCGGGUAUCAAACAGGAUUAGAUACCCUGGUAGUCCGCACAGUAAACGAUGGAUGCCCGCUGUUGGUCCAUUAGGGUCAGCGGCCAAGCGAAAGCAUUAAGCAUCCCACCUGGGGAGUACGCCGGCAACGGUGAAACUCAAAGGAAUUGACGGGGGCCCGCACAAGCGGAGGAACAUGUGGUUUAAUUCGAUGAUACGCGAGGAACCUUACCCGGGC